GACGAACGCUGGCGGCGUGCCUAACACAUGCAAGUCGAACGGAAGUAAGAGCUUCGGUUUUUACUUUAGUGGCGAACGGGUGAGUAACGCGUGAGAAACCUGCCUCUCAGUGGGGGACAACAGUUGGAAACGACUGCUAAUACCGCAUAACACUUUAGUACCGCAUGGUACAGAAGUCAAAGCUUUAUGUGCUGAGAGAUGGUCUCGCGUCUGAUUUAGCUAGUUGGUGGGGUAAACGGCCUACCAAAGGCGACGAUCAGUAGCCGGACUGAGAGGUUGAACGGCCACAUUGGGACUGAGAUACGGCCCCAGACUCCUACGGGA
rnacentral:rRNA from 1 species